UACGUAGGGUGCGAGCGUUGUCCGGAAUUAUUGGGCGUAAAGGGCUCGUAGGUGGCCAACUAAGUCAGACGUGAAAUCCCUCGGCUUAACCGGGGAACUGCGUCUGAUACUGGAUGGCUUGAGUUCGGGAGAGGGAUGCGGAAUUCCAGGUGUAGCGGUGAAAUGCGUAGAUAUCUGGAGGAACACCGGUGGCGAAGGCGGCAUCCUGGACCGACACUGACACUGAGGAGCGAAAGCCAGGGGAGCAAACGGG
rnacentral:rRNA from 1 species